rnacentral:rRNA from 1 species
AUAGGAAGGGUUGUGUUUAUUAGUUACAGAACCAGCCCAGGCUCCGCCUGGUCCUUUGGUGAUUCAUAAUAACCGAACGAAUCGCAUAGCUUCGCUGGCGAUGAAUCAUUCAAGUUUCUGACCUAUCAGCUUCCGACGGUAGGGUAUUGGCCUACCGUGGCAAUGACGGGUAACGGA